rnacentral:rRNA from 1 species
UUCGUAGCUGGACUGUUAAGUCUCUUGGGAAAUCCGCCGGCUUAACCGACGGGCGUCUAAGAGAUACUGAGAGUCUAGGGACCGGGAGAGGUGAGAGGUACUCCGGGGGUAGGAGUGAAAUCCUGUAAUCCCUGGGGGACCACCGAUGGCGAAGGCAUCUCACCAGAACGGCUCCGACAGUGAGGGACGAAAGCUGGGGGAGCGAACAGGAUUAGAUACCCUGGUAGUCC